CAGUCGUACCGGUGGGUAAUCAGCCUUUCGGCGUGAUUAUGUGGAGCGUGAGGAGUUAAACGCCCUCAUGGCCUGCAUAUUCGUGUUCUUUGGGUGUACUUACCCGCAUGGUAGGUUAACACCAAUUUCGAACGUCAUAAAAUGGUUGGAGGAAUGUAGCUUCGAUCUCGUAUUGAAGUGUUAUAGACUCCGGCAGAUGUGAUGAUCGGGAUUGAGGAUUGCAACGGAUACCCUUCGGGGCUACCCGUCUGAUCUCUGAAAGUUGCUCUGGUGCCGAAAGCUCGCUUACGGUCAUCAAAGUUGACGUUCAACAGGUUAGAACGGGAUAAA
rnacentral:rRNA from 1 species